ensembl:snRNA U6 U6 spliceosomal RNA
GUGCUCGCUUUGGCAGCACUUAUACUAAAAUUAGAACGAUAUAAAGAUUACCAUAGUCUCUGUGCAAGGACGACCACAAAUUCUUGAUGUGUUUCGUAUUUUG